ACACACCUGGACCGAAGAAAUGGCGCGUUUUACACUUUUAAAAAUGGCGCGCUCACCACCGACACCGUAUGAAGACUAGUAGCCCUAGGCAGUGUGUUAGUCUGCUGUUCUUGCUUCCUGGAUACCUCCCGUUGGAUAACCCUCCAACCUGCAACACUAUCCCGGCCGUCGUUCCCUGGAGCCGGCUGCUCACCUUACUGCACCGGCCUGCGGCCGAGAGGUCUCUGUUCCCUGCAGAGGUGAAAUUGGAGGAGAUCAGUGAAGCCUGUUGGCACCAAUCAGCUGGAUCAGAGAGGAGGAGGAUGGGGGAAAAAAUGUUGCUGUGGGCCAUCUGGCUGCUGUACCAUCGUCUCUGUGUAACUCACUGAACCUGCGUCAGGUUCGUGCAGUAAGAGGCUGCAGGAAGUCAUUUUUUGUGUGACUUAUUAUUUAACUCUGGAAAUAGAGGAGCUGCUGCUGUCGGCCUAAUCAGGAUUCAGAAUGAAGAGAAAUGGGUUUGCUUUUCAAAACAAGGAAUUAAAACUGUACUUGUAUGAUAA